AAACCAUUUUUCCUCCUGAGUAUAGGCGAUAAAAAAGGAAAAAGGAGCUAUAGAAAAAGUACCGCAAGGGAAAGCUGAAAGAGAGAUGAAAAAGACCAGUAAAGCUUAACUAAGCAGAGAUUAAAACUUGUACCUUUUGCAUCAUGAUUUAGCUAGAACUUUCAAGCAAAGAGAACUAAAGUUUGAACCCCCGAAACUGAGUGAGCUACUCCAAGGCAGCCUAGAUCGUAGGGCGAACCCGUCUCUGUAGCAAAAGAGUGGGAAGAACUUUGAGUAGGGGUGAUAAACUUACCGAACUUAGUUAUAGCUGGUUGCCCGUGAACUGGAUAGAAGUUCAGCCCUCAAAUUUCCUCACUCGCACCUACAGAUCCCGCUGUUAUAGCCCUGGAGAAAUCAAGAAAGUUUUGAGAGGUUAGUCAAAGGGGGUACAGCCCUUUUGAAACAAGACACAACUUUUAUAGAAGGAUAAAGAUCAUAUUAAGCUAAGGCCAAAUGUUCUAGUGGGCCUAAAAGCAGCCACCUUUACAAAGGGCGUUAAAGCUCGAACAUGUUUCGUCCCCCCAAUACUGAUAUCUUAUCUAAAUCCACUUAAAACCUAACGAGCCGCCCCAUGCACACAUGGGAACGACCAUGCUAAUAUGAGUAAUAAGAGAAGCCUAUCAAAUCUCUCCCCGCACGUGUGUACAUCGGACCGGACCCCCCGCCGAGAAUUAACGGCCCCAAUUAAAGAGGGCACUGGAAAGCUCCGCAACUAGCUAGAAAUACAUCCAACGCACCCCGUUAACCCCACACUGGAGUGCCUCCCGGGAAAGACCUAAAGGGGGAGAAGGAACUCGGCAAACAUAAAAAGCCUCGCCUGUUUACCAAAAACAUCGCCUCUUGCAACCCAUAGAAUAAGAGGUCCUGCCUGCCCAGUGACAAUUUGUUUAACGGCCGCGGUAUUUUGACCGUGCUAAGGUAGCGUAAUCACUUGUCUUUUAAAUGAAGACCCGUAUGAAUGGCAAAACGAGGGCUUAGCUGUCUCCUUCCCCUGGUCAAUGAAAUUGAUCUCCCCGUGCAGAAGCGGGGAUCAUACCAUAAGACGAGAAGACCCUAUGGAGCUUUAGACAAAUAAUGGAACCAUGUUCCCUAACCCUUAUAACCGGGGUUAAAAUUAAUGGAUCCUCCUUCAAUGUCUUCGGUUGGGGCGACCAUGGGGCAUACAAAACCCCCACGUGGAAGAGGGCCUAUUAAAUUUUUAUGGGACCCUUCAGAGGAGGGCGACAGCUCUACCCAGCAGAAAUUCUGACCAAACUGAUCCGGGCAAACCGAUCAACGAACCAAGUUACCCUAGGGAUAACAGCGCAAU
rnacentral:rRNA from 1 species